rnacentral:piRNA from 1 species
UGGAUUUUCUCUUAAAAGAAUCAUUGAUGA